GAUUUCUGGUAUAAUGCACCUGGCCCGCGCCCGUCAGGGUUGUGAGUGCCGGCGCGCGUUUACCAUCCUUCUAGAAAACAGGCCUGUCAUUAACUUGGUGGGUUUGCGAUCUAGAUCUUUUACUUUGAAAAAAUUAGAGUGUUUAAAGCAGGUUUGCGCCUUGAAUACAUUAGCAUGGAAUAAUAAUUUAGGACUUCUGCCUAUUUUGUUGGUUUCUAGGUUUGGAGUAAUGAUUGAUAGGGAUAGUUGGGGGUGCUAGUAUUCAUCGGCCAGAGGUGAAAUUCUUGGAUUCGAUGAAGACUAACUAAUGCGAAAGCAUU
rnacentral:rRNA from 1 species